CCCACGCCGGGCCACGGGCCACCUACCAUCAGUCAUCCGCUAGAUACAACAGUUCAGGAUGAUAUUGCUUUGCCUAGUCAAGAACUUGCACCAAAUGACAUGAUUAGUUCAUCAAGUGACACUUCGGAUGAAUAUGUAACAUGUGAUGAUGGUGAAAAUGGUCGUCCACAAGCAGUAAGUACUUGUUGCUUUGUUGUUUAGUUAGCAGUCUCAUCGUUAGUAAGUUGAUUUUCUUUUGCCAGAACAAACUGUAAAUUUUUGUUGUUUUGUUUUAUUUAGUUGCAGCUUGAUGAAGAAGAUUUACGAGAUGUAAUUUCUUUCCAGGAAAUUUUUGAUGCAUUUGAAUGCGCAUUGAACGAAAUGUUUAUUGUGAAUGAAAUUUGAUUUUAAUUAAUUCUAUUGAAACAAUAGUUCUCAUGCAAAUUAAAGCAAAUGACAAUAGACCUUUCCCCUUAUGAGUGAAAUUUUGGUCUAGAUAUGCCUGG